CACGCAGGCGGUCUGUUAAGUCAGAUGUGAAAUCCCCGGGCUUAACCUGGGAACUGCAUUUGAAACUGGCAGGCUUGAGUCUCGUAGAGGGGGGUAGAAUUCCAGGUGUAGCGGUGAAAUGCGUAGAGAUCUGGAGGAAUACCGGUGGCGAAGGCGGCUCACUGGCUCGAUACUGACGCUGAGGUGCGAAAGCGUGGGGAGCAAACAGGAUUAGAUACCCCUGUA
rnacentral:rRNA from 1 species